AUUGAACGCUGGCGGCAUGCCUUACACAUGCAAGUCGAACGGCAGCGCGGGGCAACCUGGCGGCGAGUGGCGAACGGGUGAGUAAUAUAUCGGAACAUACCCUAGAGUGGGGGAUAACGUAGCGAAAGUUGCGCUAAUACCGCAUACGAUCUACGGAUGAAAGUGGGGGACCUUCGGGCCUCAUGCUUUUGGAGCGGCCGAUAUCUGAUUAGCUAGUUGGUGAGGUAAAGGCUCACCAAGGCGACGAUCAGUAGCUGGUCUGAGAGGACGACCAGCCACACUGGGACUGAGACACGGCCCAGACUCCUACGGGAGGCAGCAGUGGGGAAUUUUGGACAAUGGACGCAAGUCUGAUCCAGCCAUGCCGCGUGCGGGAAGAA
rnacentral:rRNA from 1 species